AAUAAAGAGUACACAUAUGUGUGUGUGUGUGUGUGUGUUUACAUCUGAGAUAAAAUUUGCUAUCGUGAAAAGUCCCCUGCUGUGAAAAAUUUCAUGCUGCAAACAUGAUUUCAUUGUAGAGGAGUUUCACUGUAUGAUGGAAGAAGUU